rnacentral:lncRNA from 1 species
AAAUGAGAGGGGGUGGAGGCCACACUAUUUAUAGGCCACUCGCCGCCCAUAAUGCCAAUGAAAAGGUGCCAAGUGGCACAAUACUACUAGCCAAAAGGGGAGGCCACGCGGUCUCCCAAGAGUCAUAAUAAAUACAAUAGAAACUCGAAGUACAUUUAUUGACUACCUAGAAACUCUAAGGGACUCUUGACCCUCCGGUAUCCGUACCAUCAGUCUCGAGAUCCGCGUAGAAGCUUCUAGAAGAUUCCAAGCCAAAACCUCCGUCAGAUGUCCGCUUUGGAGUUUGGGUGAUUGCAAAGCGAAAUCGCGGAGAAAAUCUUUAUGUCGUGACAGCCUCCCCCACCUAUUGCGCAGACGCCCUCGUCGCGCGCUGGUGUUGGAAGUCAUCGAUCAGCUUCUGAUACUUCCAGAGAGUGUCGGCCUUCUCCCAGCUUGCCUCGCCAUGCGGGAGAUUCUUCCACUUGACAAGGUACUCGACGCUCCUCGGGACUCCGCGACGCCGAAUGGUACGAGUGUCCAGCAAGGCUUCGACCUCCUUGUCGAUAGCAGUGGUCAUAGUGGCGGGAGCGCGCUGCGACACGCCCCGGCUCGGGUCCUCAGCGUCUUCAUGGUAGGGCCGCAGGCAGCUAGCAUGAAAGACAGGAUGAAUCUUCAGGUUGGCGGGGAGUUGCAGUUUGUAGGCUGCCUUGCCCGCUCGCUUGAUGACAGUGAAAGGCCCCCCUCGUACUUUCGCAAAAGCCCACGAUGCACCUUGCGAAAUGCCUUGAACUGUUGUGGUUGCAGCUUGAUCAACACUCGAUCUCCCUCGCAAACUCCAAGGGUCGCCGCUUUGCAUCGGUCCACUUCUUCAUUCGGCGGGCCGUCUUCUCGAGAUAGGCUCUCGCAAUGUCUCCCUUCUCCUGCAAAUGAGAAGUGAAUUGGAGAGCCAUUGGGCUGCGGCCCUGCUCCCCCACACCAGCAGAAUGCGGAGUGAGUGGUUGCCUCCCCGUUGCCAGCUCGAACGGGCUAAGGUUGGUUGACCCGCUCCGCCGCAAGUUGUAGGAGAACUGGGCCACGUUCAGAUGAUGCACCGAGUCCUUCUGGUUGGCACUGACAUAGUGUCGUAGGUACUCCUCCAGUAAGGCAUUCACCCGUUCCGUCUGGCCGUCCGUCUGCGGGUGGAAACUGGUGGAAAAGAGCAACUCCGACCCCAAGAUCCGGAACACCUAUGUCCAGAACUUGCCCGUGAACCUAGGGUCCCGGUCACUCACAAUGCUUUCGGGGAUGCCCCAAAGCUUCACAACAUUGCUGACGAAGAGCCGCGCUGCUUCUUCCGCCGUGCAAUCCGUUGGUGCCGCGAUGAAAGUCCCGUACUUGGAGAAUCGGUCCACCACCACGAGGAUGGACCCCAACAUCCCCACCUUGGGCAAGGCGGAGAUGAAGUCCAUGGAAAUGCUUUCCCACGGACGCGUCUGUGUAGGCAGGGGCUUGAGGAGGCCCCCAGGCUUCUGGCGCUCUACCUUGUCUUGCUGGCACACAAGGCAAGUCCGCACGUACGCCUCCACGUCGUCGUGCAUACGAGGCCAAUAGUAGGCGGCCUCGAGUAGCGCCAUUGUCCGCUUUUGUCCUGGAUGUCCGGCCCACUUGGAGUCAUGACACUCCUUCAUGAGCUCACAACGAAGAUUGCCCCAUUUGGGCACAUAGACGCGCCGUCUCUUGGUGAGGAGCAGCCCAUCGCUAAGCCAGAACUGCUGUGCCUCCUUGAUGAGUCGCACGAGUCCUUGGGCCACAGGGUCCUCGCAAGUCCCUUCGCGGAUUCUCUCCCUGAUCGCGCCUUGGAUCUGGCACACCGCUGCCAGUUCCGCCUUGCGGCUGAGUGCGUCAGCCACUUGGUUGUCCUUCCCGAUUUUUGUACGAGAGCUCCAUGUCGAACUCCGCCAGGAAGUCCUGCCACCUCGCCUGCUUGGGUGACAGCUUCUUCUGAGUAAGGAAGUAGCUUAUCGCGACAUUGUCCGUCCGCACAACGAACUUGCUUCCAAGGAGAUAGUGCCGCCAAGUCCUGAGGCUGUGCACUACAGCGGUCAUCUCCUUCUCUUGCACAGUGUACCGCCACUCGGUGUCGUUGAGCUUGCGGCUCUCGUAGGCGAUGGGGUGUCCGUCCUGCACGAGAACACCACUAAUGGCAAAGUCCGAGGCGUUAGUAUGUACCUCGAAUGGACGGCUGUAGUCGGGAAGCUGUAACACCGGAUCCUCUGUCACCGCGCGCUUUAAGUCCUCGAAUGCCUCCGUGCAUCGAGGGGUCCAGUCCCAUGACUGGGUCUUCUUCAGCAGAUCCGUCAAAGGGGCCGCUCGAGCAGAGUAGCCCGCGAUGAAGUGGGAUAGUAGUUGACGAGUCCGAGAAAGGAUCGCAGCUCGGACACCGUCGUGGGCGCUUCCCACUCGCAGAUCGCCCGCACUUUCUGCUGGUCCAUGUGGAGUUGACCUCGGCCUAUCCAGUGGCCAAGGAAGUGCACCUCCUCCUUCGCAAAGGAGCACUUCUCCCUCUUGACAUAGAGCUGGUUCUCCCACAGCACUUGGAAGAUCGUCCGCAGAUGCUCGACGUGCUCCUCCAGAGUGUUGCUGUACACGACGAUGUCGUCGAGGUACACUACCACGAAGCGGUCGAGGUAGGGGUGGAAUAGUUUGUUCAUCAGGGUGCAGAAGGUCGCCGGCGUAUUCGUCAAGCCGAAUGGCAUGACGAGGAACUCGUAGGCUCCAUACCUCGUCACGUAUGCCGUUUUCUCCUCAUCGCCUUCCGCAAUCCUGACUUGGUAGUAUCCCGAGCGAAGGUCCAAUUUGGUGAAGAACGUCGCUCCGCUAAGCUGGUCAAACAAGUCAGCAACAAGGGGAAUAGGGUACUUAUUCUUUACCGUCACCUUGUUGAGCGCUCUGUAGUCAAUACAGAGCCACAGGCUUCCGUCGCUCUUCCUUUGGAACAAGACUGGUGCUCCGUAGGGUGCCUUCGACGGCCUGAUGAAGCCCGCAUCGAGGAGGUCCUUCAGUUGACGCUGCAACUCCUCGAGCUCUGGCGGGGCCAUGCGGUAUAGUGCCUUUGCUGGUGGCUUUGCUCCUAGCUCGAGCUCGAUCGCAUGGUCCACCUCCCGCCUGGGUGGAAGUUUCUUGGGCAGCUCCUGGGGCAUAACGUCUUCAAACUCCCCCAGGACUGCAUCGAUCACCGUUGGAUGGUCCUCCUGCUCGAGGUCCUCCCCGCUCACCUCACGGAUGGCCGCAAGAUAAGUGGUUUCUCCGCGCUUCACCCCCUUCCGUAGUUGCAGAGCGGAGAGGGUGUGGGUUGCCGCUGGCUCGCUGCGGCUCACCAAGACCAUGCACGGGGCUGCCUCCUCCAUGAUGCUCAAGGCCCCGAGGUGCGGCAUCGGGACCGCUUUCGAUGAAGCUAGAAAGUCGAUGCUGAGAAUGACUUUGAAGUCGUCGAUGGUCGCGGCGGUGAAGUUCGCUGUACCCGACCAGGGUCCUACAGCGAUCGUCACCCCUUUGGCUACUCCCACGACAGGCUGUGCCACCGAGUUGACAGCCUUGAUCUUGCUCGUGUCCUUCUCGAGUGUGAGGCCCAGUCGUUUGGCCUCAGACUCGGCGAUGAAGUUGUGGGUCGCCCCUGUGCCUACGAGCGCUCGAGUGGCCCUUCCGUUGAGGGUCACGUCCACGAACAGCAGCUCCUUCUUGAGCGGUUUGCUGCUCACCAGCCCCUGGAUCGCGCUUACGAGUCGUAGCACGCCCAUUUUCGUCUCCGCUUGUUCCUCGCUCUCCUCAGCUUGGAUGGCGUUGACGGUCUUCUUCUUUGGACAAUCUCUUGCCCAGUGAUCACCCCUGCAGACAUAGCAAAAGAUCUUUUUCUUCUACGGAGGGCCCUUUCACUCUUGGCCCUUUUGAUCACGUUGCUCGCGGCGGUCUCCCGCACCCUUGGCCUUGCCCGCCUUAGAUGGUUUGCCACGAGCGAAGUCCAGCUUGUCAUACUCCAGCAGCUUCUCCGCUUGAGCGAUAGCGGAGCUCACAUCCUUGACGUCUCUCGCCACGAGCUCCUUGUUAGCCCAUGGUUGAAGACCGUUGAGGAAGAAGAACAGCCGAUCCUCUUCGGCCAUGCUGGUGAUGGCAAGCAUUAGUUUGGAGUACUCCUUGACAUACUCCUUGAGGGAUCCUGUUUGCUUAAGCCGUCGAAGUUGCCUCCGCGCCAAGUAUUCGACAUGCUCGGGGUAGAACUGUGCCUGCAGUUCGCGCACGAAGUCCUCCCAAGUCUUUAGUUCGCAUUGGCCCUUCUCGGCCUCUGUAGAACGUCGACGCCACCACAGCAUCGCAUCGUCGGUGAGGUAAAUGGAAGCGGUCUGGACCUUGUCCUCCUCGUCCUCGAUCCGCAGCGCCUUGAGAUAGCGCUCCAUGUGACAAAGGAAGUUGUCUAUCUCCUUCUCGUCGCGCGAACCCUUGAAGCAUUGGGGUUCAGGGACGCGGACCUUUGGGGUGUACUCCUUCUGCGUUUCACCGCCUCGAGCCACUGCCUUCUCAAGGAUAGUCACUCUCGUCUUGAGGUCCUCGACCUCGUUGACUCGAGUGACUAGCUCCUCGAUCAAGUUCUUCCGCUCCUCGUCACGACGGGUGAUGUUGCCUUGGAGCUUCUCGAGCUCGCCUCGAAAGGUCGCCAUGGCAGUGGCGACGCUCUCCUCCAUACUGCGAACAUCAUCAUUAAAGGCGUUAAAGGUAUCGGCCAUCUCGGUGUACCUUUCACCCACCUUCGAUAGUAUGUCCUCCAACAGUGCAAGGCGGUCCUCGACCGACGCGGAAUCCUUCGUGAUUCGCGUGUCUUUGCCCUUGCUCCGCUUGGAGGGUUGCUUGGAGGGUUCACCCCCAACGUCGCCAGCACCGGCCUCGGUUGACGACAUGGUUCCUUCUCGAACCGGCUCUGAUACCAACUGUCACAGACUUAACGGUUUGGUUCGCAAAAUCCGUGCGACGCUCGCCUUCCUUCGCGAAGUGAGCAAGCCUGUCUCUCUACUUGCUAAGUUAGGACCUCGCUCGCCCUAGACUAAGUACAAGAGAGAUAAGAAGGAAGCUCUUCUAUUACUUUAAACUUGAGAAUACAAUAUGAGGAUUCUGAAAUGAGAAGGGGUGGAGGCCACACUAUUUAUAGGCCACUCGCCGCCCAUAAUGCCAAUAAAAAGGUGCCAAGUGGCACAAUACUAUUAGCCAAAAGGGGAGGCCACGCGGUCUUUCAAGAGUCCUAAUAAAUAGCAUAGAAACUCGAAGUACAUUUAAUGACUACCUAGAAACUCUAAGGGACUCUUGACCCUCCGGUAUCCGCACCAUCAAUCUCGAGAUUCACAUAGAAGCUUCUAGAAGAUUCCAAGCCAAAACCUCCGUCAGAUGUCUGCUUUGGAGUUUGGGUGAUUGCAAAGCGAAAUUGCGGAGAAAAUCUUUAUGUCGUGACA